rnacentral:tRNA from 1 species
GGAAAGAGAGGGAUUCGAACCCUUCG